UAGUGAAAGCGAAAUUCAAAAACACUCAAAGUUUUGCCUCAACUGAAAACUAAUAAUGAAAUUUUUAACUUUCGUCCUUUUCUUGGCUUUGGUGGCUUUAUCCUUGGGAAAGCCUUCUGAUGAUAAUGCCGCAGGACCGGACUCCAAUGGACCACAACCCUCCCAUCCUGAAGAAAAUCCAACACGCUUCCAUGUGGAUCCCUACUAUAACCCCAAUGGCGGAGGAUUUGGCAUCAAUAUUGGCUUUUAAAAAAAUAAAGUUAAUAACAAAAAGAUAAAUGUCAAUAAAUAUAUGGAGAUAAAAUAACCAA